CUGAUCUUAGCGGCGGACGGGUGAGUAAUGCUUAGGAAUCUGCCUAUUAGUGGGGGACAACAUUUCGAAAGGAAUGCUAAUACCGCAUACGUCCUACGGGAGAAAGCAGGGGAUCUUCGGACCUUGCGCUAAUAGAUGAGCCUAAGUCGGAUUAGCUAGUUGGUGGGGUAAAGGCCUACCAAGGCGACGAUCUGUAGCGGGUCUGAGAGGAUGAUCCGCCACACUGGGACUGAGACACGGCCCAGACUCCUACGGGAGGCAGCAGUGGGGAAUAUUGGACAAUGGGCGCAAGCCUGAUCCAGCCAUGCCGCGUGUGUGAAGAAGGCCUUAUGGUUGUAAAGCACUUUAAGCGAGGAGGAGGCUACUUUAGUUAAUACCUAGAGAUAGUGGACGUUACUCGCAGAAUAAGCACCGGCUAACUCUGUGCCAGCAGCCGCGGUAAUACAGAGGGUGCAAGCGUUAAUCGGAUUUACUGGGCGUAAAGCGCGCGUAGGCGGCUAAUUAAGUCAAAUGUGAAAUCCCCGAGCUUAACUUGGGAAUUGCAUUCGAUACUGGUUAGCUAGAGUGUGGGAGAGGAUGGUAGAAUUCCAGGUGUAGCGGUGAAAUGCGUAGAGAUCUGGAGGAAUACCGAUGGCGAAGGCAGCCAUCUGGCCUAACACUGACGCUGAGGUGCGAAAGCAUGGGGAGCAAACAGGAUUAGAU
rnacentral:rRNA from 1 species